rnacentral:rRNA from 1 species
CCAAUAGCGUAUAUUAAAGUUGUUGCAGUUAUAAAGCUCGUAGUUGAAUUUCGAGAUCAGUACGCUGGUCGUGCCUUCGGUAUGCACUGGUGUCACUGGUUUCUCCCUUCUGAAGAACCGUCAUGCCAUUCAGUUGGUGUGGCGGGGAAUCAGGACUGUUACUUUGAAAAAAUUAGAGUGUUUAAAGCAGGCUCGCGCUUGAAUACAUUAGCAUGGAAUAAUGAAAUAGGACGUUUGACCCUAUUUUGUUGGUUUCUAGGAUCGACGUAAUGAUUAAUAGGGAUAGUUGGGGGCAUUAGUAUUCAAUUGUCAGAGGUGAAAUUCUUGGAUUUAUUGAAGACUAACUACUGCGAAAGCAUUUGCCAAGGAUGUUUUCAUUAAUCAAGAACGAAAGUUAGGGGAUCGAAGACGAUCAGAUACCGUCGUAGUCUUAACCAUAAACUAUGCCGACUAGGGAUCGGAUGAUGUUAAUUUUUUAAUGACUCAUUCGGCGCCUUACG